rnacentral:lncRNA from 1 species
CACCCACCUUCAGUAAAUACGAAAUACGACUAUGAAAUACCUACGAAUACAACAAAAAAUAUACGCGAGAAUAAGAAAAAUGGGCAGAAGUGAAUGACCUAUUAUUAAAUUCCUUUUCUCUUGCGGUCUUGACGUCUACAAGCAUGCGUUAAGUUCGUCAAUAAAUAUGUUGCUAACUUCACGCACAUACAAACUCGAUAUUUGUUUACAUGUGAAAUGUGUUAUGUCUGGUAUGUGAUUUGGUGUCAGUGAAAUGUUUACGAUUUGCAUGUAUUAAAGUACCGGUGUUUUUAUUUUUUAAUUUAGGACAAAAUAUCCUAGGUCUUCCUUGAUUACGGAUAAUCCACACAUCUUAAAACGCAUUACCUCAAAGUAUAAUAAACUAACUAAAGAAGACUCAAUUAAGAUAGAUAUUUUAUAAAAUU